rnacentral:rRNA from 1 species
GACGAACGCUGGCGGCGUGCUUAACACAUGCAAGUCGAACGGAAAGGCCCUGCUUUUGUGGGGUGCUCGAGUGGCGAACGGGUGAGUAACACGUGAGUAACCUGCCCUUGACUUUGGGAUAACUUCAGGAAACUGGGGCUAAUACCGGAUAGGAGCUCCUGCUGCAUGGUGGGGGUUGGAAAGUUUCGGUGGUUGGGGAUGGACUCGCGGCUUAUCAGCUUGUUGGUGGGGUAGUGGCUUACCAAGGCUUUGACGGGUAGCCGGCCUGAGAGGGUGACCGGCCACAUUGGGACUGAGAUACGGCCCAGACUCCUACGGGAGGCAGCAGUGGGGAAGAUUGCACAAUGGGCGGAAGCCUGAUGCAGCAACGCCGCGUGCGGGAUGACGGCCUUCGGGUUGUAAACCGCUUUCGCCUGUGACGAAGCGUGAGUGACGGUAAUGGGUAAAGAAGCACCGGCUAACUACGUG